CCAAUGGAUGAAGGGCAGAGGAAAAUAUGAGGUUUCCAACCUGCAGCACCUGGAGUACAGGUAGAAGAUGGAGAGCCCAGUGACAUGGUGCUGUGACUAUAACCUUUCCUUCAAUAUCAGCAAAACAAAAGAAAUCUUGGUUAUUCCCCACCAUUCUGGAUGGGAAAGGCUUCACAAUUCACUGCCAAGAUAGGACAGCAGAGUCUUUAGAAGGCAGAAGAAGGGAAAUAUGCUUCACGAUCAACUCCUUGCAGUGUACAAAUAUUGCAGUACUGUCCCGGUCUUGCUCACCCACUCUGGACCAGCUUGCGAUUAAGUGCUGGACAUUUUAUUUGCCAUGGGAGAUUUCAGCGGUCAGAUUGGUAGCGGUGUAUAUCGCACCUCAGGCUAGUGUCAAUCAGGCUUUAGACAAACCAAGCAACGUAAUAAACAGUCGUGAAACAUCGUACCCUGAUGCUUUCAUCAUUCUGGGGGACUUAACCAGGCCAGCAGGAAAAAGUCUCUAAAUAAUUAUUACCACAAAUCACUUGUGGAACCAGAGGAACCAACACACUGGACAACUGUUACACCACCAGCAAAAGUGCUUACCAUGCUGCUCCAUGGCCACACAUUGGAGGGCCUGAUCACCUGGCUGUACUUCUACUCCAUGAGCAGUCUGAAGACUGCUGCAUCAAUAGUGAGGACCAAGAAGGUGUGGACAAGGGAGGCGCAAGAGCAUUACAGCACUGCUUUGAAUCGAUGGACCGGACUGUAUUCAGGGAUUCAUCUUCGACUCUCAAUGAGUACUCCACAGCUGUUACUGACUUCACUAAAAUCAGUGUGUGCCUACGAGAAUAUAUUCUGCAUACUCAAAUCUAAAGCUGUGGAUGAACCAGGAGGUUCUUAGUCUGCUGUAGGCUAGAUCUGUGACCCUGCUCUUCUUGGGCACUAUCGUCUAGUAGCACUCACAUCUACGGUGAUUAAGUGCUUUGAAAAGUUGGUUAUGGCUGGUAUUGAUUCUUGUCUCAGCAAGGACCUGGACCCACUGCAAUUUGCCUAUCACCACAAUAGAAUGUGAUCUCAUUGGCUCUUCAAGUGGCCUUGGAUCACCUAGACAAUAAUAAUACUUGCUGUUUAUUGAUUACAGCUCAGCGUGUAACACAAAUAUUCCUACAGUUCUGAUCAAAAAACUCCAAAACCUGGACCUCUGUACCUCCCUGUCCAACUGGAUCCUCGGCUUCCUAACCAGAAAACCACGAUCUGCGCAGAUCAGAAAUAAUAUUUCCACCUUGCUGACUAACCACACUGGCGAACCUCAAGGAUGUGUGCUUAGCCCACUGCACUACUCUCUCUACACCCAAGACUGUAUGGCUAGGCACAGCUCAAAUGCCAUCUAUAAAUUUGUUGACAGCACAACUAUAGCUAUAGGAUUUCAGAUGGUGACCAGAGGGUGUACAACAGUGAGAUAUAUCAGCUAGUUGAGUGGUGUCACAGUUAAAAACUUUGCACAGUAAGAUCAAAGAACUGAUUGUGGACUUCAGAAAGGGUAAGAUGACGGAACAGAUAAAGGGAUCAGAAUUUCUAAGAGUGAGCAAUUUCAAGUCUGAGGGUCUAUCCUGAGCCCAGUUACAAAGAAGGCAUGACAGUGGCUGUAUUUCAUUAGGAACUUGAGGUGUUUCAGUAUGUCACCAAAGUCACUCACAAAUUUCUACAGAUUUUCCACUGUGGAGAGCAUUCUGGUUGGCUGCAUCACCGUCUGGAAAUGGGGCUGUAGGCUACUGCACAGGGUCAAAAUAAUCUGCAGAGAUUAUUGUUGUGAGUCAGCUCCAUCAGGGGCACUAGCCUCCCAUGUCGUAUCCAGGACAUCUUCAAGGAGCAAUGCCUCAAAAAGGCGGCAUCCAUCAUAAAGGACCCCAUCACCCAGGACAUGCCUUGUUCUCAUUGGUACCAUCAGAACGGAGGUACAGAAACCUGAUGACACACUGAGAGAUUCAGGAACAGCUUCUUCCCGUCUGCCACCUGAUUUCUAAUUGGACAUUGAACCUACGAACACUACCUCACUACAUCACUACAUUUUUUUGAAAUUUUCUUUUUGCACUACUUACUUAAUUUAACUAUUUGUACAAUGUACUGUGUAUGUUAAUCAAAAUGGCUUCUUUGUUUUGUUAAGAGUAGGAAUGCUACUUUGUAUGAUAAGUGCUUUCUCUCGCAGUUGUUUAGCUUUAGACUUGCUGAUAAUGGGAUUGAAUUCAUUUGUUGACCAAUGGGGAAUGUUAUUUUGUCUUGUGGGUCUGGGAGCGGGGGUUUCGUGGUCUUUUCAGGGGAGGCGGGAAGGAGACGCCGAGGAAGGUGGACGUGCGCUGCACUGCUCGGUCAACCACCCGGGUGGUCCCAGGUGCGAGGACGUGGAGGUUGGAGGAAAGCGACGAGGGGUCGAAUGGUUCGAUGGUUGGGCUCCAAUGAUGUGCACUAAACUGACUGAACUCUGAUAAGCUGGCACCUUUAUUUUCUUUUCCUUCAUAUAUAUUGUAUUGCAUAGUACUCUCAGUUUUAGUAAAAUCUUUAAAGUGUAUUCCAUAACGGUA